AUGAUAUCCGUUGUCAGUAAGCAGACUGAUACUUCUAAUGUAAAGUGGUCUGCAGUUCAGAUAGCAAGGUUCCUAAGACUUCUCAAAAAGUAUCAAAUCUUGUGGAGGCUCACCGACAAAGAUAGGAAAAGCAAACGCAACCGAGAUGCUGCAUUCCACUCUCUCAUAGUAGAAGCACGUCAACAUGUCGGUCCAAAAGAUUUAGACAUGCUCACGAUGAAGAGCAAAAUGAAAAACCUCAAAACUGUUUAUACCAGGGAACGAGGAAAAGUCUUGAACGCUGAAGCAGUAGGUGAAAAAUAUGUGCCUGGUUUGAGAUGGUAUUCAGUAGCUGAUUCGUUUCUCAGAUACUGCAACAAAGACGGAGACAUAAAAUUAGAACCUGUUAAUCUGCUAGAAAUUAUAGAAGAUGAAUCUCACAUCGGCUCUACAUCUGACACUGAAAGUGACUGUGAAGUUGCAGCUUCAAAUGACAGGCAACCCAUGUUAGACGAGAAAUCUACUUCCUUAAGUUUUGACAUUGACCAAAGUGAUGUAGCAGCCCCUGCAAAAACGCAGCCAUAAUCUGAAGGACUGAGUCCAGCCCUGUGUUAAUUGAUUUCAUUCUUGGUACAUUAAAGUACCUCUGGAAUGGUGGCAUCUGAAGUAUAGGUAGGAGAGAAGAUGCACAUUAAAUUAUUAGUUUGGGGUACUAGGUACAAUCAAUCGAACCUUGUUCUCAAUUAAUUUUUUUUACUUUCAGGAUUUUAAAUGUAACAGUACCUAAGCAAGAAAUAUUUCCCGAGUCUGACAAAACAUUAAAUUUAGAUGCUGAAUUCGUUUCAAACUAAGGCAGAUCUGAAUUCUAAAAUUUCAUUAUAGCUUCUUGUUUAUUCCAUUGUGGCACUUUUAAGAUUUUUCUCCAGGAAUAGGGUUGAAGAAGUUAAUCAUGAAUUGUUUUUCGACUUCUGAAACGACUUUAAAAUGCUGAAGUGAAAGACAUUCAUCAAGUGUAAAAAUCAAAACAAGACUAGUUUCAUAGUUUUUCAGCUCUCGAUAAAUUAAUUAAGUGUUCAAUGUGUCCUUUAAAAUUAUAUAGUUAAAAUAUAAGCCCAACCAUCAAAUUAAUAUUCAUCCUGAUAACAAUGUAAUUCAAUCUUUAAUAAUCAAUUUCUCUCUUCAAGGACUAAUUGCUGAUUAUGAUUUCCAUGUUCAUAUUGUAAAGGUGAAAAAGAUUGUCUAACUUUUCAGCCAAGAAUGUUGAAUCUUUUAGCAUUUUUGCUGUGUAGUCAGUAGUGGUGAUAUCUAAUCCUUCAGUGCAAAAGUUUUUUUGUGCAGUAACAAAUUUUAAAUUAUCUAAAUUAUUCUCCUGUAUAUAAUCCUUAUUUGUUUUCCUAUUUGUUUUUGUCAUUAUAUUUUUAGUCUUUAUUGUUGAAAAUUGGGUACCAACUGAAAAUUUCUUGGGCUAUUAUUAAAGACUUGUUUUGAUAUACUAAUUUUUCCUUAAUGCUGAUCAUUUCGUCUUUCUUACAGCCUAAUGAACUUCCUGUUCUUCCUCACCAGUUAAUACUGUUGGAGUAAUCGAAAAGUAUCAUCCCCCCAAGCAACAUGAUUUUCAAUCCUCCGUCUUCUUGCAACCAAUCAUAAACUUAAUUCCUGUAAGUACCUACACUUAAACAGCGUUUUGAAAUUCAGUGGAGCUAGACCUCAGAAUCUAAUUUGAUUAACAUUGCCAAAGAAAAUCUCAUCAAGUUGAAAAAUAGAAAUAAAAAUGGUCUGAAGGGAAAUGUAGGUAUGCUCCUGCACCCAAUCAACAACUACGUUUUUUCCCUUUUUCAUGAGCAUGGUCAUAGGUGGGUCAGGAGGCCUCGAAAUAUUCAACUGUAUAUUUAACUGUAAUUAACUGUGUAGGUAUUUGACUGUAUAUAUAGAGCUGCUUUAAUGGCCUGGUUACACGCUCAAAUUUUCGUCAAAUUCCGAUCAAAUUGAUGACCAAGUUGGCGGUCGAGAGUUAUCUAGAUUGAUGAGUAAAAUUAAUUAAAACAGCGUGUUGAUUAAAAUAAGCAUGAAAUAAGCACAGUUGUGUGGAAAUCAGAUGAAGGAUGAGCCCCACAGCUCCAUAAUCUACCAUCAAAUUUUUGCAGGCCGCAGAAAUUUGAUGGUAGAUGGUGCGCACCAGUCACCAUUUGAUCGGAAUUUGAUGAGAAUUUGAGCGUGUAACCAGCAUAUAAACCAUUAGAGCUCCAAAUUCAAAUUUCUCAGUUCAGUGAAGGAACGGAUUUGGUGUCAUAGGUACCUAUAGGUAUCCAUCUUAGUCCCCCCCCCCUUCCAUCAUAAUUCAAGGUUGCUAAAUUGACGUAGAGGCCUAGGAAAAAAAUGUAUUCUUGGGUAAUAACUGACCCUCAGGAAUCUGAAUUUGACGACCAUAGGCGUACCUACGUAGGUCAUUUUGCUAGGGGGGGCCUCCCUUGAGAAAUUUUUAAAAUUUAAAUCUACUUGGAAGCAUUUUGCGGCUACCGUAAUGGGGAUUUACCAUCACUUAUUUUCUGUUUAAAUUAAACUUUUUCGAAAACCGAUUAUAUAGUUAGAUGACUUACUUUCUUAGUUUUUGGAGAAAAAUUACGCUUUUUUACUUUCAGCAAAGAAUACUUUCGAAUUGUUGCAUUUAAAAAAUCUGGAAAAUUUUGAAGUUUUGACUCUGUUAGGACUCACUAUGAAGCUUCCACGAUGAAAAUUUUAGAAAGAAAAUACUAUUUUCAAUUCUUUGUACGCCCAUUUUGACGGUCCCCAAACAUUUGCUGAUGUGACCCCCGGGGGGGGGGGGGGGGAGGGUGCCGUACAUAAUUUAGGUACCCAUUAACGCGUUAAUUUCAGGGACAAGUUAAUUUUCCAAAUUUAGAACCCCCUGCAUAACGUCAGCAAAUGUUUCGAAGGCUUUGGGACCGUUCGAAUGCCUAAUGAUUGAGCACUGUGGGAAAAAUUUUUCCGGAUCCUUUAUUUAUGUACAUCGACUCAGCGGCAUCGAAUUUUGGGGAGAUGGCUCUGUCUCCCACCUGCAGGAGUCAAUAUUUCGAACAAGAAUGGGCCAAGCUCGGAUUUCUUGAUAAAAAUUCGGGGCAAAAUUUUCCGUAGCCGGUAGUUUCUGAAUUUGAUUGAAUAAUUUCAAAGUUUUGCCAGACCCCCCCCCCCCCCCAUUUACAGUUACGACCCCUUUCAUUAACCCAGAGGAUCGCAACUGACAAGUCGACGUCGUAAUGACAAGUUUUAGAUACUUUAAGUACUUAUGUGUUCUAAGAUAGUCUAGGUAUUAUGCGUCGCUGUUUCAAAUUUUUCAUUCUUUAAAUGGACUUAUCUUUGCCAAACGGAACUCCUCAUGUGCAUUGUGACGUGAGCCCUGUUGUGCAUAUAUUCUUACGGGUCUCAAGGCUCAUGUCUUGAUGCACAUAGUUCCGUCUGGCAGAAUUACGUCCAAAUGACGAUCAAUAACGGAUUUAUCCACGCAAGAUUUUAUACUGCGGCACAAAUUCUCUGUUGGCUGAAAUCAACAGAAAUAGACGGCGAAAAAUCGAAAUUCCGAAUGUGCGAUAAUUUCAUGCCCACCGUGCGGCGGGUAGCUGGCUGUAAUCGUGGUCCGAUCUCCGAUCUGCGAAGUGUGAACAUGACUCGGUGUUCAGACUUGAAUCUGCGUCUAGCCACUUGCUUUGCCCUCUCUUUCAUUCGCGCGCCGCAGACGUGAGAGGACGGACGCUCCGACGCCGACAGGUCCAAACCUGUCACGCGUCAAUCAGCCAAUGAGAGCAGAGAGACGCCAUUGAUGGAUCACGGGACCUGAGAGCUGAGGAAGUGCGGAACGCGAACGAUUAUGUAAUUUCGAGCCGGCCGUCUUCAAAGUAACGUCACUUGCACUUCUCCCGCGUGAGAUCGGGUCUGAUCAUUCAUCCUAAGUGAAAGUAAUUAUUCUUUUCGAACAAUCUGUGCUCAUUAUUGUGUCUCGCCUAAACGUCUCGGUGUAAUUGAGAACAGCCGUGUGUAGUGCGUAAGUACGUUACCUAGAAUUUCGCCCGCAGGGCACCUGUUGCUUCGAGGGCCUGUUGCCUGUUGUGAGGGGUUGACUAGUCGACUUUACUCGUCCUGCCUGUGAGUGAUCUGAACGUACUUGAUACUUUAGAGAUUUUCGUCGUUUCAUUUGAAGUGUGAAUCAUCGGUUAUCGGCUAAUUGUCGUGUCUCGUGCAAAUUCCUCGGUGCAUUCGAGAACAGUCGGAAUUUCGCCAGCGGCGAAUGCAAGGGUCCGCCAUCUUUGUGAACUUCCUGCGUGUCUCGCCUCGUGGUUGUAGGUUUUCGGGUUUGUUAGUGUGAACUUUUUCAUGCGCAUUGUUUGAUGAACUAAUCGCCAUCGGUAUGUGUCAAUGUCGACUCUUUUCAUGAAUGAUCAGCAUUCCGUCUUUCGUGUAUUUGCGGCUUCUUCUCAACUUCCGAAGAUUGAAUCGUUGGAGCGUUCUCAUCGCUGUGAGAGGAUAUCCGAUGUCUGGUUGGAACUUUUCCUUAUUGCUGCUGGAUUCAG
rnacentral:lncRNA from 1 species